rnacentral:rRNA from 1 species
UGUGGCUGGGGGUGAAAGGCCAAUCAAACCGGGAGAUAGCUGGUUCUCCCCGAAAGCUAUUUAGGUAGCGCCUCGUGAACUCAUCUUCGGGGGUAGAGCACUGUUUCGGCUAGGGGGUCAUCCCGACUUACCAACCCGAUGCAAACUGCGAAUACCGAAGAAUGUUAUCACGGGAGACACACGGCGGGUGCUAACGUCCGUCGUGAAGAGGGAAACAACCCAGACCGCCAGCUAAGGUCCCAAAGUCACAGUUAAGUGGGAAACGAUGUGGGAAGGCUCAGACAGCCAGGAUGUUGGCUUAGAAGCAGCCAUCAUUUAAAGAAAGCGUAAUAGCUCACUGGUCGAGUCGGCCUGCGCGGAAGAUGUAACGGGGCUAAACUGUGCACCGAAGCUGCGGCAGCGACGCUUAUGCGUUGUUGGGUAGGGGAGCGUUCUGUAAGCCUGCGAAGGUGUCCUGUGAGGGAUGCUGGAGGUAUCAGAAGUGCGAAUGCUGACAUAAGUAACGAUAAAGCGGGUGAAAAGCCCGCUCGCCGGAAGACCAAGGGUUCCUGUCCAACGUUAAUCGGGGCAGGGUGAGUCGACCCCUAAGGCGAGGCCGAAAGGCGUAGUCGAUGGGAAACGGGUUAAUAUUCCCGUACUUGGUGUUACUGCGAAGGGGGGACGGAGAAGGCUAUGUUGGCCGGGCGACGGUUGUCCCGGUUUAAGCGUGUAGGCUGGUUUUCCAGGCAAAUCCGGAAAAUCAAG